rnacentral:rRNA from 1 species
GAUGAACGCUGGCGGCGUGCCUAAUACAUGCAAGUCGAGCGAACAGACGAGGAACUUGCUCCUCUGACGUUAGCGGCGGACGGGUGAGUAACACGUGGAUAACCUACCUAUAAGACUGGGAUAACUUCGGGAAACCGGAGCUAAUACCGGAUAAUAUAUUGAACCGCAUGGUUCAAUAGUGAAAGACGGUUUUGCUGUCACUUAUAUAUGGAUCCGCGCCGCAUUAGCUAGUUGGUAAGGUAACGGCUUACCAAGGCGACGAUGCGUAGCCGACCUGAGAGGGUGAUCGGCCACACUGGAACUGAGACACGGUCCAGACUCCUACGGGAGGCAGCAGUAGGGAAUCUUCCGCAAUGGGCGAAAGCCUGACGGAGCAACGCCGCGUGAGUGAUGAAGGUCUUCGGAUCGUAAAACUCUGUUAUUAGGGAAGAACAAAUGUGUAAGUAACUAUGCACGUCUUGACGGUACCUAAUCAGAAAGCCACGGCUAACUACGUG